GAAAGACCACAGAGCAGAUGGUUCUCAUGAGGAACUUCUGUCUUUAGUUUCAUCAUCUCCUCUGUCUGCAGAGCCACUGAUCUUUGUUCAACAUGAAGACAGAAUCCACGGAUCUGACUGGGACUCAUAAACCCAAUGUUUACCGGUGUAAAGGUGGCAGGACUCUGUCCAGCAAACGGUGUCUGACCACAGUAGCAAUCUGCUGGGUGAUACUGGUAAUAAUCACUGGUCUGCGCAUCUAUUAUACUUUUCUCCUUUCUCCUAAGUUGAAGGACUCUGAGGAUGUAAAUCAGCAUCUUAAUGAAAAAGUCCAGAUACAACAAUCCGAUUUAUGGCGACUGCAAAAGCAAGAAGCUGCUACAAAGGACUGGA